rnacentral:tRNA from 1 species
AUGCGACUUAGUUUAUUUAGAACAGCCAACUUGCACUUGACUAGAGAGAAUAUCUCAGUAGC